rnacentral:tRNA from 1 species
AGCGGCUUAGCUCAAUGGAUAGAGCCCGGCUUGACUAGUACAUCUGAGAUUGGCAUCACAGAUGAUACGGGCCGGAGGUUGCGGGUUCAAAUCCCGCAGCCGCUUCCA